AAAUCCCCAUGAGCCUUCGGGUCCUCGUCUGACAGUCAUGACCGCAGCAGCCGGGUGUGAGGGCAGGGCUGGGUAUUCGGAGACCUUCAGAAGCCUGGUCACGGAGGGCCUGCCCAGGGACCCCCCUGCCUCUCCCCCCAGGCCCCACGGCGGCAGAGACUCACAGGCAAAGAACUGCCAGGGCUGGUAGGUGCGGCCGAAGUCCAUGGACCGCUCCAGCACCCAGAGGUCCGGCCGGGACAGGGGCCCUGGACAGCUGUCCUCGAGGGCCUGGUGGCUGCACAGAUGGUCACAGGAAGGGAAGCCCGCGCUGGAGGACUCCCAUCUGUCUCUGACCUGGUCGCGGCUCCCAGGGCCACACCGGCCGCCCUCGCCAUGACCCGGAGCGAGCGCAGACCCCUGGCUUCGGGACCGCCCUUCCCCCUCCACGCCCCGCUCAGCUCAGCUGCCAGUGCUGACCUUUCCGCUGCUACAUGGUUCUGUGCAGAAAGAAAAAAAAAAGUCUUUUAAAGCAAAAGCCAAACAAAA
ensembl:lncRNA LAMA5-AS1 LAMA5 antisense RNA 1